AGCAAUGCACCUUUCGCAUUUUCUCCCUCCAGAUGGAAGAACCAUAACAGAUCGAAAAGGCAGCGGGACUGGGGGGAAAGACUGAUGUGAAAGGAGAUUUCUAGAAGGACAAGAAGAUAAACGCACUCUUGGAAAAAACAACCAAUGGAAGAGGUGAAAAUAAGCUGUUCAAAAGUCCUUGCAAUGAUCCGUUUUGCAAACGUUUAUUCGUUGUGAAAAGGGACAUUCUGGAAACUAUGAAUCAAGGAUAGCAGUACAGUCACAUUUAACAGCUGCAUGGCUGUCCAAAGCGCAAACAUGAAAGGAUGACAUGGAAAUCAGAACAGCCGACUGAAAGACUACUGCUUUCUCACGCUCAUAUAGAUGGAGAGGCAGUGCUUGUGAACGAUGUAUACUGGAAGAGAGAUGAACAGUAGGUAGCGUCGGUAAAUAUCCAAGGAAACUGGAAGGAAAGUGGACAGUAAAGAAUAGCUGGUGGGGAGCUGUCAAAAGGAUGGAUUUUAGCAUACUACGGAAUCUCAUCAGUAGAUACUGUGCUGGGGAGGAGUACUGGGUGGACAACCGGACAGUAUACAUCGGUCACAAAGAACCCCCGCUGGGGGCCGAUGCCUACAUCCCUCAGCGUUAUCCCGACAACCGCAUUGUCUCUUCCAAGUACACCUUAUGGAACUUCAUCCCCAAGAACUUGUUUGAACAGUUCAGAAGAAUCGCCAACUUCUACUUCCUGCUCAUCUUCCUGGUCCAGCUCAUCAUAGACACGCCCACCAGCCCCAUCACCAGCGGACUGCCUCUAUUCUUUGUCAUCACCGUCACUGCCAUUAAACAGGGUUAUGAAGACUGGCUGAGACACAAGGCAGACUGCAGUAUAAAUGAGUGUCCUGUGGACGUGGUGAAGGAAGGGACGGUGGUGAGGACACAGAGUCACAAGCUACGGGUGGGGGACGUUGUCAUGGCGAGGGAAGACGAGACGUUCCCCUGUGACCUCAUCCUGCUCUCAUCCAGCCGCGAUGACGGAACUUGCUACGUCACCACCACCAGCCUGGAUGGCGAGUCCAGCCACAAGACCUACUAUGCUGUACCAGACACCAUGGUCUUUAAGACAGAGCAGGAGGUGGACUCUCUGCAUGCGACUAUUGAAUGUGAACAACCACAGCCUGACCUCUACAAAUUUGUGGGGCGCAUCAAUAUUUAUAAGGAAAGUGAAGAUCCCAUAGCCAGACCCCUGGGAGCUGAGAACCUUCUCCUCAGAGGAGCCACCCUGAAGAACACAGAACACAUUUAUGCUGUAGCCAUCUACACGGGCAUGGACACCAAGAUGACGCUGAACUACCAGUCCAAAUCCCAGAAACGCUCCGCUGUAGAAAAGUCUAUGAAUGCAUUCCUCAUAGUGUAUCUGUGUAUCCUGAUCAGUAAAGCGGUCAUUAACACAGUUCUGAAGUACGCGUGGCAGUGGUCUGCUGACCACGACCAGCCCUGGUACAAUCACAGGACCGAGAUCGACAGAGAACGCCACGUGGUGAUCAGGGCGUUCACAGACUUCCUGGCCUUCAUGGUGUUGUUUAACUACAUCAUUCCAGUCUCCAUGUACGUUACCGUGGAGAUGCAGAAGUUCCUGGGGUCUUACUUCAUAGCCUGGGACAAGGAUAUGUACGAUGAUGAGCUGGGGGAGGGGGCUCAGGUCAACACAUCAGACCUCAAUGAAGAGCUGGGACAGGUGGAGUAUGUGUUUACUGAUAAGACGGGCACGUUGACAGAGAACAACAUGGAGUUUAUAGAGUGCUGUGUGGACGGACUCGUGUAUAUCCCCCACGCCAUCUGUAAUGGACAGAUCCUCAGUGCUGCUUCCAGUAUAGACAUGAUCGACUCCUCACCUGGAGGAGACCACAGGGAGCAUGAGGAGCUGUUCUUUCGGGCUCUGUGUCUGUGCCACACGGUACAGGUGAAGGAGGAGGAGACAGUGGACAGCAUCAAGAGAGGGAUCCACCAGGGAAAACCCACCUCCUUCUACAUAUCAUCUUCUCCUGAUGAGGUGGCAUUGGUGGAGGGCAUGAAGAGGUUGGGGUACACAUAUCUAAGACUCAAAGACCGUCAUAUGGAGAUUCUCAAUAAGGAGGAUGAGAUUGAGAGGUUUGAGCUGCUACACGUGCUGAACUUUGACUCUGUCAGGAGGAGAAUGAGCGUCAUUGUCAAGUCUAGUGCAGGGGAGUACCUGUUGUUCUGUAAGGGGGCUGACUCCUCCAUCUUCCCCAGAGUGGUGUCAGGGAAGAUGGGGCAGGUGCGGGCGCGGGUGGAGCAGAACGCUCUGGAGGGCUUGCGGACCCUGUGUGUGGCAUACAGAAGUCUCUCCCUAGCAGAGUACGAGGAGGCGUGUCAUCAGCUGAGCGAAGCCAAGCUAGCCCUGCAGGACAGGGAGCAGCGACUGGCGCAGGCUUAUGACCUCAUCGAGAGGGACUUCACCUUGCUGGGGGCCACGGCUGUGGAGGACAGACUCCAGGAGAAGGCAGCAGACACCAUUGAGUCUCUCCAUAAGGCUGGGAUGAAGGUGUGGGUCCUGACGGGGGACAAGAUGGAGACGGCGGCUGCUACAUGUUAUGCUAGCAAGCUGUUCCGCCGCUCCACCCAAAUAUUGGAGCUGACCAAGAAACGAACCGAGGAACAGAGUCUACAUGAUGUUCUGUUUGACUUGAGCAGAACCGUACUGAGACAGCGCUCCCUGUCGCGGCUGUCUGUAGACUGUCAGGACUACGGUCUGAUCAUCGAUGGGGCCACCCUGUCUGCGGUGCUGAAGCCCAGUCCAGAGAGCUCUGGCUCUGGGAACUACAGAGAGAUCUUCCUGGAGAUCUGUAGGAACUGCAGCGCCGUUCUCUGCUGCCGCAUGGCGCCCCUCCAGAAAGCACAGAUUGUGAAGCUGAUCAAGGCGUCUAAGGAGCACCCCAUCACUCUGGCCAUCGGAGACGGAGCCAACGACGUCAGCAUGAUCCUCGAGGCACAUGUGGGCAUAGGCAUCAUGGGUAAGGAGGGUCGCCAGGCAGCGAGGAACAGCGACUAUGCCAUCCCAAAGUUUAAACACCUGAAGAAGAUGCUGCUAGUUCACGGCCACAUCUACUACAUCCGCAUCGCUGAGCUGGUGCAGUACUUCUUCUAUAAGAAUGUGUGCUUCAUCUUCCCUCAGUUCCUCUAUCAGUUCUUCUGUGGAUUCUCUCAGCAGCCCCUGUACGACACAGCCUACCUGACACUGUACAACAUCAGCUUCACCUCCCUGCCCAUCCUCCUCUACAGCCUCAUAGAGAAACACAUCAGCAUAGAGACACUGAAGAGCGACCCCACUCUGUACAGGGACGUAGCUAAGAACUCUCUCCUGCGCUGGCCCGUGUUCCUGUACUGGACAUGCCUGGGCUUAUUCGACGCCUGUAUCUUCUUUUUUGGUGCCUACUUCCUGUUCGACAACACCACCUUCAGUAGCAACGGACAGCUUAUGACCACCAACACACAGAUGAUGUUUGGGAACUGGACUUUCGGGACUCUCGUCUUUACAGUGCUGGUGUUCACGGUCACGCUCAAGCUUGCCUUGGACACACACCACUGGACCUGGAUCAACCACUUUGUCAUCUGGGGCUCCCUGCUUUUUUAUGUCAUCUUCUCACUGCUCUGGGGAGGCAUCAUCUGGCCUUUCCUGAACUACCAGAGGAUGUACUAUGUGUUCAUGCAGAUGUUGUCCAGCGGUCCGGCUUGGCUAGGCAUCAUCCUGCUCAUUAUGGUCAGCCUGCUGCCUGAUGUGGUCAAGAAGGUCCUCUGCAGAACACUGUGGCCCACCGCCACCCAUCUUGCACAGUCCAAUCGCCCGUGCCUUACCGUGGAGCCGUCCACCAUCUUCGUGCUUUCUCAGUCCGAUAGCAGAUUGAGUUUCUGAUUGGCCGAGAGACGUCAGAGGAGGAGAGGGUGAAGGCUAAUGGGGUGUGUGAGGGGAGUGCGUCCUCUGCCCUGGGCGCCAGUCCUGUUGAUGGAGGUGGAGGCAGUGAGAGAGACAUGCUUUGCACUGCUAGGACCUGUGAGGGGGACAGAGGAGGUGGAUGGGUGCAAGCUACCAGGACAUAUGACUCCAUGAUGUCACACAACCCUAACUACCUGCUCAGCCAUCCCCUAGACCAUUCCCCAUCAGAGACCUAGGGUUGCUAAGGACGUUGACAAGCUGUUGCAGGGCAGUGUAGCAGAGUUGAUCCCCGUGCUCCCAUGCCCUUCUGGCCCUUCCUCCAAACGGAAGUGUACUGACUCCUCCCGCCUCCACAUCAGGGUUCCGAUGCCCCUCCCACUCCGCAGGUCUGAGUCCUUCCCCCACAAACUACUAUUGGCCCACUGGACUGAUUGGGGCGGGGCAGACCGCUGCACCCUCAGCCCCUACAUGCUCCGCCUCUCAGGGGCUGGCUUUGCCUACUACACACCGGGGCCAGAGACCUUUGUGUGACACACACUCACACACACGCAGGCUAAUGUGUGUACACACAAAACGAUGUGUUCACAAAAGAUGUGCACACACACAGAGACCAAUGUGAUCUAAAUUUACAGCUUACCAUGGAUGUGGAAGGAUUUGUAUUCCACUCAUAAACAAUGCAAACACACACACACACACAUUUGCAAAAUAAUUCACACAUACUGAAAAACAUAAAACAUCUUCACACAAUUCACCAUGUGCAUAGUCAGCCAUUCAGAUACACCCCUCCCCCAAUCUGCCUCCCACCGGUCCUGUCCAUCCCAUUUCAGUGUGGUCCUGAUCCCAGUCCAUUCCAUUUCAGUGUGGUCCUGAUCCCAGUCUUACCAUCCCAUUUCAGUGUGGUCCUGAUCCCAGUCCUGUAGAUUCCAUUUCAGUGUGGUCCUGAUCCCAGUCCUGUCCAUCCCAUUUCAGUGUGGUCCUGAUCCCAGUCCUGUCCAUCCCAUUUCAGUGUGGUCCUGAUCCCAGUCCUGUCCAUCCCAUUUCAGUGUGGUCCUGAUCCCAGUCCUGUCCAUUCCAUUUCAGUGUGGUCCUGAUCCCAGUCCUGUCCAUUCCAUUUCAGUGUGGUCCUGAUCCCAGUCCUGUCCAUCCCAUUUCAGUGUGGUCCUGAUCCCAGUCCUGUCCAUUCCAUUUCAGUGUGGUCCUGAUCCCAGUCCUGUCCAUUCCAUUUCAGUGUGGUCCUGAUCCCAGUCCUGUCCAUCCCAUUUCAGUGUGGUCCUGAUCCCAGUCCAGUCCACACCUCUACUCUGUUCUGCUACUCUAUAAUCCAUGUUAAAAUACUUGAAUCCAACGUUGACACCAGUGGUGUUAAACACUGAACACACGGAGGUGUUCAGUGUGUGAAUGUGCGUCCCUUCUACACUAAAGAAUUGUGUAUGAAAAGGACCAGACUUUUCUGUUUCUAUUUUAUUAACUGUCUCUGUCUUCUUCUUUUUCUCUGUCUCUCAAAUAUACUCAUUUUGUUGAAAUAACAGGAGUUGCUUCGCAAAAUGUUCUGGGGAGAAAGACAUCUGUUAUUCACUGCGUGUGUGUGUGUGUGUGUGUGUGUGUGUGUGUGUGCGUGCGUGCGUGCGUAUGUAUAUACAGCUGAAUUUGGAAGUUUACAUACACUUAGCUUGG